rnacentral:rRNA from 1 species
UACGAAGGGGGCUAGCGUUGCUCGGAUUUACUGGGCGUAAAGGGCGCGCAGGCGGCUCAUUUUGUCAGGCGUGAAAGCCCCGGGCUUAACCUGGGAACUGCGUUUGAUACGGAUGGGCUAGAGUUCGGGAGAGGAGAGUGGAAUUCCCAGUGUAGAGGUGAAAUUCGUAGAUAUUGGGAAGAACACCGGUGGCGAAGGCGGCUCUCUGGACCGAUACUGACGCUGAGGCGCGAAAAGCGUGGGGAGCAAACAGG